rnacentral:rRNA from 1 species
CAUUGGGACUGAGACACGGCCCAAACUCCUACGGGAGGCAGCAGUGGGGAAUAUUGCACAAUGGGGGAAACCCUGAUGCAGCGACGCCGCGUGAGCGAUGAAGUAUUUCGGUAUGUAAAGCUCUAUCAGCAGGGAAGAAACUGACGGUACCUGACUAAGAAGCACCGGCUAAAUACGUGCCAGCAGCCGCGGUAAUACGUAUGGUGCAAGCGUUAUCCGGAUUUACUGGGUGUAAAGGGAGCGUAGACGGACUUGCAAGUCUGAAGUGAAAGCCCGGGGCUCAACCCCGGGACUGCUUUGGAAACUGUAGGUCUAGAGUGCUGGAGAGGUAAGUGGAAUUCCUAGUGUAGCGGUGAAAUGCGUAGAUAUUAGGAGGAACACCAGUGGCGAAGGCGGCUUACUGGACAGUAACUGACGUUGAGGCUCGAAAGCGUGGGGAGCAAACAGGAUUAGAUACCCUGGUAGUCCACGCCGUAAACGAUGACUGCUAGGUGUCGGGGAGCAAAGCUCUUCGGUGCCGCAGCUAAC